UACCCGCAGCUCAAGUGGCGGUCAUUAUUAUUGGGCCUAAAGCGUCCGUAGCUGGUUUGUUAAAUGCCUGGGUAAAUCGAUGCGCUUAACGUAUCGAAUUCCGGGUAGACUGGCAAACUCGAGACCGGGAGAGGUGUAGGCUACUCGAGGGGUAGGGGUAAAAUCCUGUAAUCCUUCGGGGAGGACCAGUGGCGAAGGCGCUACACUAGAACGGCUCUGACAGUGAGGGACGAAGCCCUGGGGCGCAAACCGG
rnacentral:rRNA from 1 species